rnacentral:rRNA from 1 species
GUGGGGAAUAUUGGGCAAUGGGCGAAAGCCUGACCCAGCAACGCCGCGUGAAGGAAGAAGGUCUUCGGAUCGUAAACUUCUAUCCUUGGUGAAGAUAAUGACGGUAGCCAAGAAGGAAGCCCCGGCUAACUACGUGCCAGCAGCCGCGGUAAUACGUAGGGGGCAAGCGUUGUCCGGAAUGAUUGGGCGUAAAGGGCGCGUAGGCGGCCUGGUAAGUCUGGAGUGAAAGUCCUGCUUUUAAGGUGGGAAUUGCUUUGGAUACUGUCGGGCUUGAGUGCAGGAGAGGUAAGUGGAAUUCCCGGUGUAGCGGUGAAAUGCGUAGAGAUCGGGAGGAACACCAGUGGCGAAGGCGACUUACUGGACUGUAACUGACGCUGAGGCGCGAAAGUGUGGGGAGCAAACAGGAUUAGAAACCCCGGUAGUCC